GACGAACGCUGGCGGCGUGCCUAAUACAUGCAAGUAGAACGCACAGUUUAUACCGUAGCUUGCUACACCAUAGACUGUGAGUUGCGAACGGGUGAGUAACGCGUAGGUAACCUGCCUGGUAGCGGGGGAUAACUAUUGGAAACGAUAGCUAAUACCGCAUAAUAUUAAUUAUUGCAUGAUAAUUAAUUGAAAGGUGCAAUUGCACCACUACCAGAUGGACCUGCGUUGUAUUAGCUAGUAGGUGAGGUAACGGCUCACCUAGGCGACGAUACAUAGCCGACCUGGGAGGGUGAUCGGCCCAACUGGGACUGAGACACGGCCCAGACUCCUACGGGAGGCAGCAGUAGGGAAACUUCGGCAAUGGACGAAAGUCUGACCGAGCAACGCCGCGUGAGUGAAGAAGGUUUUCGGAUCGUAAAGCUCUGUUGUAAGAGAAGAACGGGUGUGAGAGUGGAAAGUUCACACUGUGACGGUAUCUUACCAGAAAGGGACGGCUAACUACGUG
rnacentral:rRNA from 1 species